AUUGAACGCUGGCGGCAGGCCUAACACAUGCAAGUCGAGCGGCAGCGGAAGGAAGCUUGCUUCCUUGCCGGCGAGCGGCGGACGGGUGAGUAAUGUCUGGGAAACUGCCUGAUGGAGGGGGAUAACUACUGGAAACGGUAGCUAAUACCGCAUAACGUCGCAAGACCAAAGAGGGGGACCUUCGGGCCUCUUGCCAUCAGAUGUGCCCAGAUGGGAUUAGCUAGUAGGUGGGGUAAUGGCUCACCUAGGCGACGAUCCCUAGCUGGUCUGAGAGGAUGACCAGCCACACUGGAACUGAGACACGGUCCAGACUCCUACGGGAGGCAGCAGUGGGGAAUAUUGCACAAUGGGGGAAACCCUGAUGCAGCCAUGCCGCGUGUAUGAAGAAGGCCUUCGGGUUGUAAAGUACUUUCAGCGGGGAGGAAGGCAGUGAACUUAAUACGUUCACUGAUUGACGUUACCCGCAGAAGAAGCACCGGCUAACUCCGUGCCAGCCGCCGCCGUAAUAC
rnacentral:rRNA from 1 species